AGAGAUGGUAGACCAUUAAGCCUACACGUUGUUUCUGACGUGUGUAGCAUGGUCCACUAAUUCU
rfam:Loxodonta africana unplaced genomic scaffold scaffold_9, whole genome shotgun sequence.